rnacentral:rRNA from 1 species
GACGAACGCUGGCGGCGUGCUUAACACAUGCAAGUCGUACGGUAAGGCCCUUUCGGGGGUACACGAGUGGCGAACGGGUGAGUAACACGUGAGUAACCUGCCCACAACUUUGGGAUAACGCUAGGAAACUGGUGCUAAUACUGGAUAUGUGCUCCUGCUGCAUGGUGGGGGUUGGAAAGCUCCGGCGGUUGUGGAUGGACUCGCGGCCUAUCAGCUUGUUGGUGGGGUAGUGGCCUACCAAGGCGGCGAAGGGUAGCCGGCCUGAGAGGGUGACCGGCCACCUUGGGACCUGAAUACGGCCCAGACCCCCACGGGGGGCCGCCGGGGGGAAUUUUGCACCAUGGGCCCAAGCCUGAUGCCGCAACCCCCGCGGCGGGAUGAAGGCCUUCGGGUUGGAAACCCCUUUCCGCAGGGACGAAGCUUUUUGUGACGGUACCUGCAGAAGAAGCACCGGCUAACUAAC